rnacentral:rRNA from 1 species
AGAGUUUGAUCCUGGCUCAGGAUAAACGCUGGCGGCGUGCCUAACACAUGCAAGUCGGACGAAGAGGCCCCUUCGGGGGUACUUCAGUGGCGAACGGGUGAGUAACACGUAGGUGACCUGCCCCGAAGCAGGGGAUAACGGUUCGAAAGAGCCGCUAAUACCCAAAAAGGUUGUGUGUCAAAACAUGAUCAGAGUAUCUCCUCUUUGAGGAGACGCGUUUCGGGAGGGGCCUGCGGCCCAUCAGCUAGUUGGUAGGGUAACGGCUUACCAAGGCUAUGACGGGUAGGGGGCCUGAGAGGGCGACCCCCCACACUGGCACUGACACACGGGCCAGACUCCUACGGGAGGCAGCAGUGAGGAAUAUUGCACAAUGGGCGAAAGCCUGAUGCAGCAACGCCGCGUGGGUGAUGAAGGCCUUCGGGUCGUAAAACCCUUUUUCUGGGGAAAGAGAAAGGACGGUACCCCAGGAAUAAGGUUCGGCUAACUACGUGCCAGCAGCCGCGGUAAAAUGUAGGAACCGAGCGUUAUCCGGAUUCACUGGGCGUAAAGCGCCUGCAGGCGGUCCUGUAAGUUGGACGUGAAAUCUCCCGGCUUAUCUGGGAGGCGCCGUUCAAUACUGCAGGACUUGAGGGCAGAAGAGGGAAGUGGAAUUCCCGGUGUAGUGGUGAAAUGCGUAGAUAUCGGGAGGAACACCAGUGGCGAAGGCGGCUUCCUGGUCUGCACCUGACGCUAAGAGGCGAAAGCUAGGGGAGCGAACGGGAUUAGAAACCCCGGUAGUCCUAGCCGUAAACGAUGGACGCUAGGUGUAGGUGGUCCUAACCCCAUCUGUGCCGAAGCUAACGCGUUAAGCGUCCCGCCUGGGGACUACGGCCGCAAGGCUAAAACUCAAAGGAAUUGACGGGGACCCGCACAAGCAGCGGAGCGUGUGGUUUAAUUCGAUCUACACGAAGAACCUUACCCGGGUUUGCAUGCAGGUAGUAGUGAAGCGAAAGUGGAACGACCCUUCGGGGAGCCUGCACAGGUGCUGCAUGGCUGUCGUCAGCUCGUGCCGUGAGGUGUUGGGUUAAGUCCCCUAACGAGCGCAACCCUUGCCGUCAGUUAUACGUGUCUGGCGGGACUGCCGGUUUAAAACCGGAGGAAGGUGGGGAUGACGUCAAGUCAGCAUGGCCUUUAUGUCCGGGGCUACACACACGCUACAAUGGCCGGUACAAUGGGUCGCCAACCCGCGAGGGGGAGCCAAUCCCACAAAGCCGGUCUCAGUUCGGAUUGGAGGCUGCAACCCGCCUCCAUGAAGCUGGAGUUGCUAGUAAACGCGCGUCAGCUAUAGUGCGUUGAAUACGUUCCCGGGUCUUGUACACACCGCCCGUCACGUCAUGGGAGCUGGCAACACCUGAAGCCAGUGGGCUAACCGAAAGGGGGCAGCUGUCGAAGGUGGGGCUGGUGACUGGGACGAAGUCGUAACAAGGUA